AUACCUUCUCGGCUUUUUGGCUAAGAUCAAGUGUAGUAUCUGUUCUUAUCAGUGUGAA
rnacentral:snRNA from 1 species